UACGUAGGGUGCGAGCGUUAUUCGGAAUUACUGGGCGUAAAGCGUGCGCAGGCGGGCUUUUAAGCCUGACGUGAAAUCCCCGGGCUUAACCUGGGAAUGGCGUUUGGGACUGGAAGUCUGGAGUGCGGCAGAGGAGACUGGAAUUCCUGGUGUAGCAGUGAAAUGCGUAGAUAUCAGGAGGAACACCGAUGGCGAAGGCAGGUCUCUGGGCUGACACUGACGCUCAUGCACGAAAGCGUGGGGAGCAAACAGG
rnacentral:rRNA from 1 species